AACACUACCAUGUAUGGUGGGAAUUGUUAUAGCUAGCUACUGGGUACAUUUUGUUUUCUGCUCAGAUCCUAUGAUUUUGUUCCUGUGUCUCCGCUUUGUCUCCGGAUUUCCAUAUUACUUUGUUAACUGGAUUUAAUUCAAAUUCUAGACUAUCAAUACAGCUUGUUCUCAUGGCUCAUUUCACAGUCUCCUAAUCUGAGGCAGUUUUGAUUCACUUGAAAGCCCAUGUUUGCUUUGUGGCUGUGAUAUCACAAAGACUUGAUUCACAAGAACACCACUUUGUGCCUCCACAAAGACCUGGUUGGUCCUGAAACCUCGGGGAAAUUGAUGCUGUUGAACUGGUAAUCCUCUUAAGCUAUUAGGUCACAGCACUAACCCACUGUACUUUGAUAGUAUAAAUACUGAAUAUUCUCAGAGUUAUGUUACAUACUUGGAGGAGAGCUUGUUCUGUAAAUUCAGUAAGACUUUAUCCAUGGCAUAAGAGUUACUAUAGGAUUGUAGCCUAAAACCCAGGUGCUGGUCAGAAGGGCUUCUAAUAUGUGUCAUAUGAGGGUUCUUUGCAUUUGUAGCAGAUCACGAAAACUGCAUCAGCAUUUCUCCCAUUAGCUUUGGAUUUUCUCUAGCCUCCUUAUUUCUUGCCUGUCUGCAGCUGUUAUGGUUGAGCCUUAUGGCUCCAAUACUGGGAGACGUGGUCGUAAGACUCCUCGAGAGUCAGACUCUCUUGAGGAGCGAGAGAGGAAACGGCUGUGGGAUAUCUUUGCAGAACCAUCUGACGAAGACUCCUUUGAGGGUUUUACUGAGAGAAUGGAGGAAGAGGUGGUUAGCUCAGAGGAGGAUGACAUGGAAUGGACUCGUGUGAGGGAGGAUUUGGGUGUUCCUGGUAAUGAUAGCAUGGGAAGCGACUGGCGGGUUGCAGGAUCGGACCCGUGGACGAGUUGGAGGGAUGGGACGGGAUCCACAGCUGGGGAUGCUGUGGGGCGUAGUCAAAGAUGUUUUAGUUCUGAUGAGGAUGAUGAUGAUGAGGCACCUGGAAUUAGGGUAACACCUGAUAGCGAUGAGGAGUUGUAACUGGCAUAAAAUGGGGUCUUGAAUCCAGGGCUAAUUGCGUUGGGCAAGGUAAUCUGGACGGACGCUUGGGAUCUUGUUGGGAAAUUCCUGAAGACGGGUGUGUUUCGUUUGCUGAAUACCUUGGACCUCCGUCGUCUUCUUGACGGACAUUAUUUACCUACUCGGAAUUGACGCUGGACUGGCUGACUGACUGACUGACUGACUGGCUGACUACGAUCUUGGACGACCCUUUCUUUGGUUAUCGGAGGAUUUCGUGGAACCUAAGACGCCUGCACCUGGUAAUCGACCUCGGACCGGAUUGGGACCCCGCUGACCGCUGCAACCCUUGAUUGAUGUGUUUGGACCCGGAGUUCGCCCGCUGCACGGAGGAGUAACAACUUAGUUGCUCAACCAUAGCUGUUGAGUAGCAGAGAGGAAUCUGCUGCCAGUAUUUAUGUUCUAUUGAAUCUUUGUUUACCAGCUUUUGUUUGUUUAUAGUCCCAGGCUGAAGUAAGCAUUUUUGGUUUAACCCGGAUUAAACUCCUGUUUAAUCCGGUUUAUCUUUUGAACCGUUUUUGAGUGACUUUUCAUAUUGAAGGCGAGUGUUUGCCUAGCUCUUUGUUUUUUACGAGCAUUUUUGGUUCUGUAUCUUUAAUAAACUGUGUUGAAUCUUA